UUCCAUUGUCAAGUCUGCUGAGAAUUCACGCAGGGCCAACCCCGGAGACUGCUCUCUCUUCAGUUCCUAAGAUGGAAAGAAUGAAAGUCUGAAUCUUAUUAAGCAGAUCCACAGGACUUGGACUGAAGGAGAUAUGAAAACACAAUUUUAUGUUCAAGUCUGGGAAGGAAAAAUAACAUCAGAGUGAGCCAGACGUAUUCUGAAUCCCUUCAGCAACUACACAGCAAGACCUACACGGCGUAUUUGUGCAUCUUGUGCCAAUUCCUAGUUAUGUGGAGACAAAAGGAGCACGUGCAUAACCUCAGUCCUUGCUAGACUGAAGGCCUCUGCUUGCAGGAGCGUUCAGGGUGACGGGGCGCACCAGGCGAAGAUGUGGCUCUUAUCCUCCAACAAGCAAGUGCCAAGUACAUCAAUUUCCCAGACAGUGAACUAAGCCAUCAAUUGAACAUCUGCACAAGAGGCGUCUCGGCGAUGGUUCCCUCUACAUGGCUCACACCCAUCUCCUGUAAAGGAUGCCAAGAGUUGUUGGGAGGUUGAGUAUAUGGGAAAGUGUUUUGGAAAGAAUUACU